rnacentral:rRNA from 1 species
AUACGGAGGGUGCAAGCGUUACUGGGAAUCAUUGGGCGUAAAGCGCGCGUAGGCGGCUCUGCAAGUCGGGUGUGAAAGCCCCCAGCUCAACUGGGGAAUGGCCUGAGAAACCACUAGGCUGGAGUGCUGGAGAGGGAAGCGGAAUUCCCGGUGGAGCGGUGAAAUGCGUAGAUAUCGGGAGGAACACCAGAGGCGAAGGCGGCUUCCUGGACAGACACUGACGCUGAGGCGCGAAAGCUAGGGGAGCAAACGGGAUUAGAAACCCCUGUAGUCC